rnacentral:rRNA from 1 species
GAGGUAACGGCUCACCAAGGCGACGAUGGGUAGCCGACCUGAGAGGGUGAUCGGCCACACUGGAACUGAGACACGGUCCAGACUCCUACGGGAGGCAGCAGUGGGGAAUAUUGGGCAAUGGGCGCAAGCCUGACCCAGCAACGCCGCGUGAGGGAAGAAGGUCUUCGGAUUGUAAACCUCUGUCCUUGGGGACGAAAAAAAUGACGGUACCCAAGGAGGAAGCUCCGGCUAGCUACGUGCCAGCAGCCGCGGUAAUACGUAGGGAGCGAGCGUUGUCCGGAAUUACUGGGCGUAAAGGGUGCGUAGGCGGUCAGGCAAGUCAGAUGUGAAAUCCCCGGGCUUAACUCGGGUGGUGCAUUUGAAACUGCUUGACUUGAGUGCAGGAGAGGAAAGCGGAAUUCCUAGUGUAGCGGUGAAAUGCGUAGAUAUUAGGAGGAACAUCAGUGGCGAAGGCGGCUUUCUGGACUGUAACUGACGCUGAGGCACGAAAGCGUGGGGAGCAAACAGGAUUAGAUACCCUGGUAGUCCACGCUGUAAACGAUGGAUACUAGGUGUGGGGGAGAUACAACCUCCGUGCCGCAGCAAACGCAAUAAGUAUCCCGCCUGGGGAGUACGGUCGCAAGGCUGAACUCAAGGAUUUGACGGGGACCCGCACAAGCAGCGGAGCAUGUGGUUUAAUUCGAAGCACGCGAAGAUCUUUACCAAGGCUUGACAUCCCUUGACAGCCGUGGAAACACGGUUUCCCUUCGGGGCAAGAGACAGGUGGUGCAUGUUUGUCGUCAGCUCGUGUUCGUGAGAUGUUGGGUUU